GCGCCUGUAGUGAAGUGGACAUCACAUUACCCUCCGGAGGUAGGAGCCCGAGUUCGAGUCUCGGCAGGCGCGCCA
rnacentral:tRNA from 1 species